rnacentral:rRNA from 1 species
AUGAACGCUGGCGGCGUGCCUAAUACAUGCCAGUCGAGCGAACGGACGAGAAGCUUGCUUCUCUGAUGUUAGCGGCGGACGGGUGAGUAACACGUGGAUAACCUACCUAUAAGACUGGGAUAACUUCGGGAAACCGUAGCUAAUACCGGAUAAUAUUUUGAACCGCAUGGUUCAAAAGUGAAAGACGGUCUUGCUGUCACUUAUAGAUGGAUCCGCGCUGCAUUAGCUAGUUGGUAAGGUAACGGCUUACCAAGGCAACGAUGCAUAGCCGACCUGAGAGGGUGAUCGGCCACACUGGAACUGAGACACGGUCCAGACUCCUACGGGAGGCAGCAGUAGGGAAUCUUCCGCAAUGGGCGAAAGCCUGACGGAGCAACGCCGCGUGAGUGAUGAAGGUCUUCGGAUCGUAAAACUCUGUUAUUAGGGAAGAACAUAUGUGUAAGUAACUGUGCACAUCUUGACGGUACCUAAUCUGAAAGCCACGGCUAACUACGUG